rnacentral:rRNA from 1 species
UGGGGAAUCUUCCGCAAUGGGCGCAAGCCUGACGGAGCAACGCCGCGUGAGUGAAGAAGGUCUUCGGAUCGUAAAGCUCUGUUGAGAGGGACGAGAGAUAUAAUCAGGAAAUGGGUUAUAGAGGACGGUACCUUUCGAGGAAGCCACGGCUAACUACGUGCCAGCAGCCGCGGUAAUACGUAGGUGGCGAGCGUUGUCCGGAAUUAUUGGGCGUAAAGGGAGCGCAGGUGGGAAAGUAAGUCAGUCUUAAAAAGUUCGGGGCUCAACCCCGUGAUGGGA